rnacentral:rRNA from 1 species
UACGGGGGGAGCAAGCGUUGUCCGGAUUUACUGGGCGUAAAGGGCGCGUAGGCGGCGCGGUAAGUCACUUGUGAAAUCUCUGAGCUUAACUCAGAACGGCCAAGUGAUACUGCAGUGCUAGAGUGCAGAAAGGGCAAUCGGAAUUCUUGGUGUAGCGGUGAAAUGCGUAGAUAUCAAGAGGAACACCUGAGGCGAAGGCGGGUUGCUAGGCUGACACUGACGCUGAGUGCGCGAAAGCCAGGGGAGCAAACGGG